CCUGUUUGGCCUGUAUCACACUCUAACCAGUGACACCACCUUAAAGGGUAUGAACCAGCACAAUCCAUAUGAAGACAUCUCCUCGGCUUCAGGAGUCAGGAGCAUUGGAGAGGAUCAGUCAUCUGAGACACUGAGGAAGUGCGGCAGCAGCAGGGAGGCGUGAGGCAAGAGGAGCCGCCUUCUGAAGAGCUGACUGACAGGCUGUCACUGGUGGAACCAUUCACAUCCUUUACUUAAAAAGCACCAAUGCAUCAAUCUGAAAACUCCCCGUUCCAAGUGCAGAUCCGGUCCCGUUUGACUGAUAAAUUGUUUUGUGUGACAACAUUAUGAUUAAUUCUGCAGCACCAGGGGGAGCAGCAUCUUGCUGCUGCAGGUGGAGCUUGUUUAAACUUUAUAUAUGGUUUUAGAUACUGGGACGACUUAUGAAUCUGAGGGUUUCUGAUGAUUUAUGGAAGAGGGAAGGAGAAAGUUCGGAUGCACACAUCUGUUUUCCCUUUUCUCUAAUCUUUUACUUUUUGGUGAGAUAUGAGAGAAUUUUCUACAUUUAUUGAAAUGAAACCAUGUGAGAAGUUUAGUGUGAAAAAUCAUAACGUGGCUGAGCUGUUAACAAAUCAUCCGAAAUGUGACCCCGACUACAAACUGCUUCUCACAAGACGUCAGAAACCACAAAAAGUUGGAAACCAGUGAUGUAACAGUAUCUUGGACAGUGUUGUAUUUUAGGAACUUGAUAUAUUAUCCAUUGUUAAAAAAUUCAUCUUAACUUUUAACCAAAGCUGUCAAAUAACCGUAUACGAGUCAAAGUACUUCAUACAUAUACCUCUGGAAUCUGGAGCAGUGGAAGUAUACAGCAGCAUAAAAUGUUAAUACAUAAAAAAUGAGUACCUGAGUAUGAUA